UAGCGUUAUCCUUGCCUCCGGAGGCUGGAAUUAAAGCAGAAGGAGUAUUUAUGGCUGAAAUGGAUUGGCUGGCCCCCAUCGGUUACCUUUUCUGUAGAGGAAAGGGGAGCAGAUUCCAGACACGCUCUGUGCUUUUAUUGCUGCAUAAAUUUGCCGGGUCACUGUAAAUAGUGGAGGCAUGUAAUUGGAUUUGCAGUCAGAAUUCCCUCACGAGAAAGGCCUUGUGGGCAGGCGACGUAUUCCGACUAUCUGUGGCAUCCCUUUAGGAGUUCCCGGACAAUGGUAACACUGUCUGUUCCCUUAGCGCAUUGUAUUUUAUUGUGAAACUCCCAAAUUUUCUGUCAAGUAAAAGCAUCUCCGUUUUUACUGAAUUUGAUUAAUAAGGAAAAAUUUGCAAAGGCUUGCUGUGACACUUGGCUAUAGAAGGUUGAUGGAUGAAUCAAAAGAAUUUAAAAAAUGUGUUCAGUAGACCGGCCAUAACAUUAUCAUUUUCAUUUAAAUGAUUCGUUGGCGCUAGUGGUAGCCAGCAGGCUAACUGGCAUUGAAAAUGAGUAUCAGGUUUUAAGCCUGAGUGUUUUGUGGAGUCAUCUUGGACGACAUUUAUGGCCCAUAAUUGCUGCCUGGUUUUCUGAUUUUUCUUUUCUGCUUCUAGCAAGUGGCAUGUCGUAGGUGUUUGUUACACCGACCCAAACAAAAGCUAAAAUGCAGGCUGCUUCUCCAUGGGAAAAAUAGAAGGAGACAUGCGCGUUCCCACGACAUCUGGUGAGUUUAUGGCUGCCUCUUUUGGAGGGAAUUCUCCUCAUCAUCUCCACAAAGAAUGCUAAAGAAUGAAGCCAUGAACAACGGAAGGAGCUCAGCGCAGCCUCUCCAGACCUGACAGGGCGUAACUCGUCACGCUUCAGGGAGCGUUCGGCAAAAGGCCGAGAGACACAAGGCAGGAGAAGUCCAUCAAGGAGCAUCGCAGGAAAAGGUCACGGACACCAGACACUGAUUCACGGGCGAUUUGGGGCUUAAGGGACUUAGGGAAAAUGCCAGAGGGAGAUGCCUGCAGAAUCGGGGACGAUGUGGCACUCAAGUGACUCAGCCUGACCCGUCUUGUGUUCUUAAUGACACAUACUCAUGUGCAGGAACUGGCCUGUUUGCUUGGAUCUUUACGCGAGAAGCACAACCUCUUACGCUUAAGCUGAACUGGUGCCACAGCUGCCUUUGAGGUACAGAAAUAUCCUGAAUUCCUGACAUAACCCCCAGAAAGCAAUAACCUGUCAGUGUUCCCUUCUACCUGCAGCGUACCUGUAUUCUUUGUAAUCUUUUACAUUCUUUAUAUGUCUAUAUCCUUGUGCCUUACAUCCAUUCAGUCUUUAUACCUUAAACCUGUAGCCUUGACACAUUACACGAGUAGCUCUUAUUCAUUUUAACCAGGAAUUUACAUAACUGGUACUUAAAUACGCAUUUACUGUGUAAAGGAUGAGAAAUUCUUUUGCAUGGAAAUUUCCUUUCAUAACAGUGCAAAUGCAUAUACAGUAUAGUGCAAAAGUCUUGGUCAGCCAAAGAAAAUGAUGUGCAAAUGAUCUUGAUGUCGCUGCAAAGCUAUGAUGUGGUGCCUGUCAAAGUGUGUCAGCUUAGUCAUUUCAAACCCUCUGCUAAAAUCACCCUGUUGUUUCCAGCAGCCUUACAGUGCACCCAUGGAUUUUUUUUGUCUCGACCGCUAGCACACCUCAUAUAACUAAUCAAUAUCUCAUUGACUUUUUGUAAGUUAAUUACUUAUGUAAGCCGGUGGUGAAAUUUAACAAAUACAUGGAAUGGCUGAGGUGCCCCUGAGCAGAGGUUUGGGAACUGAAGCGACGUUCAUCUAGCCAUCCAACAAGGUAUCAAUACGUUUUUGGAGAACAGAAGAAAUGUAACUAGAUUUUAUUGCGUUAUCAUUAAUCUGCAUAUGUUCUAAGUGUGUCUUUUAUUCUGACCACAUGUGCGCUUACUACCCAGAUAAAUAGCUUUUGCACAGUACUCUACAUCUCAUACUAUGAAUGCAUACUUGAGUAUCCUGAUUAUAACCAGUGUUAUUAAGCUGAACUGCUAUUUCUCCUGAGCGACUUUUAGAAUAAUGGUUAGUAUCCCCACCUGUUACGCAUCGGAGCUGGGGAGGCACUAUUUGUGCGGCCAGCGUGUGGCUCGAUGGCUUUGACCUCUGCACCUGUGAUCGGAAGGUCACCGGUUUGAGCCCCAGCCUUUGCAGUAUAGUUACUUUCCCACUGGGCCCCUGGGCAAGGCCCCUAACCCUCAAAAGUGGUGCUGGGUAAAUGGUCUGAGCCUGUGAUGCUUGAAAAGAAGAACUGCAUGGAUGCAUGUUGUCUGUAUUUUCACCACUGCACAAAUAUAAAUUAGCACAAAACACUGCAUUUAUCGCCUACUUUAUGCUUACACCUGUGCAUCUUGUGUCUGUCUAGACCCUAGUCGUCUGCCUACUGUCAUGGCGUCUCUACCUGUAGCGAGCUGUGCCUUCACACGUUUCCACCGGCCUUAAUUGUGUUGUAGUAAAUAUUCUGGUUCUGUCCUUGUGCAAAUGUCACAUAAAGCAUUCGUUUCAGGUAGCGGUGACCGUCGAAUUAGUCAUCUCCAAAGGGAAUAAGAAUUAACAGCCCCUCUUCUUUGUAGUGGGAGUUCAUCACGCUUCUGUUCAAGUGACUUUUUCCUGACUACAUCAGCGCCGCACUGAUUGAGUGACCCAGCGAGUGUAGGGAAGGUGGAUGGACUUCUAAGAGCUGAUUUCUGGAAAGAAAAAGUCUUCUGGAGCCAGUACACUACACUAUCAGAAAAAAAGUACCAUUUUGUACCUUUGAGGGUAUAAUUACUUGUUGCAGGGGCUGUACCCUCGAGGGUCUGCCAAUUAUACCCUAGCUCUAUGUAAAUAUACCUUUUGAGGUACCAGUGUGUAGCUGAACUUCUACCAUGUUCUCCACAACAGACUAGUUACUUUCAUGACUCUUUAUUGAAACUGCCUCUGAAGCAGAUGUCACUAACCCAUUAUGUUAACAUAAUUAGGGAAUCAUUUUUCAUUUAAUUGAUAGCUAUUGAGUUUCUAAUAGAAAAAAAAUGUUAAGAUCUUAUUAGGCAAGUAUAUACUACAAGCAAUGUAAGUAUUAUUUAGAGAAAGGUUUUACUGAUGUUAUCUGGAUAUUUCUUGAACAGUAACUAUCCCUUAACUUAAAACCCAGAACUUAAUGAUG